rnacentral:rRNA from 1 species
ACGGCUCAGUAACACGUGGACAACCUACCCUCCGGACGGGUAUAAACCCGGGAAACUGGGUAUAAUCCCCGAUAGAUCUCGGUCGCUGGAAUGCCCCGAGAUCGAAAGCUCCGGCGCCAGAGGAUGGGUCUGCGGCCUAUCAGGUAGUAGUGGGUGUAGCGUACCUACUAGCCUACGACGGGUACGGGUUGUGAGAGCAAGGGCCCGGAGAUGGAUUCUGAGACACGAAUCCAGGCCCUACGGGGUGCAGCAGGCGCGAAAACUUUACAAUGCCGGCAACGGCGAUAAGGGGACCUCGAGUGCCAGGUUACAAAUCUGGCUGUCGUGAUGCCUAAAAAGCAUUGCAUAGCAAGGGCCGGGCAAGACCGGUGCCAGCCGCCGCGGUAACACCGGCGGCUCGAGUGGUAACCGUUAUUAUUGGGUCUAAAGGGUCUGUAGCCGGCCGGAUAAGUCUCUUGAGAAAUCCAGCAGCUCAACUGUUGGGCUUUCAGGAGAUACUGUUCGGCUCGAGGCCGGGAGAGGUGAGAGGUACUUCAGGGGUAGGGGUGAAAUCUUGUAAUCCUUGAAGGACCACCAGUGGCGAAGGCGUCUCACCAGGACGGACCUGACGGCAAGGGACGAAAGCUAGGGGCACGAACCGGAUUAGAUACCCGGGUAGUCCUAGCCGUAAACGAUACUCGCUAGGUGUCGGCCACGGUGCGACCGUUGUCGGUGCCGUANGGAAGCCGUGAAGCGAGCCACCUGGGAAGUACGGCCGCAAGGCUGAAACUUAAAGGAAUUGGCGGGGGAGCAC